rnacentral:rRNA from 1 species
AGGACGAACGCUGGCGGCGUGCCUAACACAUGCAAGUCGAGCGAGGAGAUCCUUCGGGAUGAUCCUAGCGGCGGACGGGUGAGUAACACGUGGGCAACCUGCCUCAUAGAGAGGAAUAGCCUUCCGAAAGGGAGAUUAAUACCUCAUAACAUUGCAGUUUCGCAUGGAACAGCAAUUAAAGGAGCAAUCCGCUAUGAGAUGGGCCCGCGGCGCAUUAGCUAGUUGGUGAGGUAACGGCUCACCAAGGCGACGAUGCGUAGCCGACCUGAGAGGGUGAUCGGCCACAUUGGGACUGAGACACGGCCCAGACUCCUACGGGAGGCAGCAGUGGGGAAUAUUGCACAAUGGGGGAAACCCUGAUGCCAGCAACGCCGCGUGAGUGAUGACGGCCUUCGGGUUGUAAAGCUCUGUCUUCAGGGACGAUAAUGACGGUACCUGAGGAGGAAGCCACGGCUAACUACGUGCCAGCCGCGGC